GACGAACGCUGGCGGCGUGCUUAACACAUGCAAGUCGAACGAAGUGGCGAACGGGUGAGUAACGCGUAAUCAACCUGCCCUUCAGAGGGGGACAACAGUUGGAAACGACUGCUAAUACCGCAUACUGAAGGAGGGGAUUGCGUCUGGUUAGCUAGUUGGAGGGGUCAUGGCCCAACAAGGCGAUGAUCAGUAGCGGGCCUGAGAGGACUAACGGCCACCUUGGGAGUGAGGCACGGCCCAGACUCUGACGGGAGGAAGCAGUGGGGACUCUUCCGCAAUGGACGAAAGUGUGACGGAGCAACGCCGGGGGAGUGAUGACGGCCUUCGGGUUGUAAAGCUAUGUUAAUCGGGACGCGGUACCUGAAUAGAAAGCCACGGCUAACUACGUGCCAGCAGCCGCGGUAAUUC
rnacentral:rRNA from 1 species